AUAAUACCUUCAACAAAUUCCGUUCGUUCAUUCAUUCAUCUGAGAGUGAAAAAAUGGAGUGCCAAUUUCCUUAGCAGAAAAAAAAAAUCACAAAACCCUAAUUCCUUGGUUUAUCUUCUGCAAAACCCUAAUUUGUUGUUCCAGGAAUAAUGGGGGAAGAAGAUGAACAGAAGAAGAAGAUGAUGAGGAAACCAAUUCCCCCAUACAUGAAAGCAAUAUCAGGAUCAGUAGGAGGGAUAGUAGAAGCAUGUUGUUUACAACCAAUAGAUGUUAUUAAAACAAGAUUGCAAUUAGAUAGAAGUGGUGUUUAUAAAGGGAUAUCACAUUGUGGUAAUACUGUUAUAAAGACUGAAGGUGUUAGAGCAUUAUGGAAAGGAUUAACACCAUUUGCUACUCAUUUAACCCUAAAAUAUGCCCUUAGAAUGGGUUCUAAUGCUAUGUUCCAAACUGCAUUCAAAGAUAGAGAUACUGGCAAACUUAGUUAUCAGGGGAGAUUGAUGUCUGGGUUUGGUGCUGGUGUUCUUGAAGCUCUUGUUAUUGUUACACCAUUUGAGGUGGUAAAGAUUAGAUUGCAGCAGCAGAAAGGACUAAGCCCUGAGCUCCUCAAGUACAAAGGACCUGUACACUGUGCAACCACUAUCGUUCGUCAAGAAGGCAUCCUUGGGCUCUGGGCAGGGGCUGCACCAACUGUUAUGCGAAAUGGAACGAACCAGGCAGCCAUGUUUACAGCCAAGAACACUAUAGAUGUGAUUUUAUGGAAAAAGCAUGAAGGGGAUGGGAAGGUAAUCCAGCCAUGGCAGUCCAUGGUAUCAGGGUUCUUAGCUGGAACUGUGGGUCCUGUAUGCACUGGACCCUUUGAUGUCGUGAAAACAAGGUUGAUGGCUCAAAGUCGUUCUGGAAAUGAUGUGAAGUAUACGGGCAUGGUCCAUGCCAUCAGAACCAUAUUCCAAGAAGAAGGUUUGUGUGCUUUGUGGAAAGGGUUGCUGCCUCGGCUCAUGAGGAUUCCACCUGGUCAGGCCAUCAUGUGGACUGUGGCUGACCAAGUGACCGGCUUUUAUGAGAAGAGAUACAACUAGCAUGCUCCCUUGUAAGUCCCCAUCAAGAACACAUCUGCUUUUCCUGUUUUUUUUUCUGGCUCUUAAAUUACUGCCAAUCUCUGAAAUAGGACGUUUUUUUCUUUUAAAAUCUUCUGUUAGCUUUCUGUUCAGCUAAAUUGAUCCGGAACCUUGAGGGAAGCAGCCAUUUAGAAAAGACUAGGUUGCAUAUUUUGUGAAUCCCCCAAUUAUUCUUUGCUUGUAUAAUGAAAUGCAGGGCUAAAUGAUGAUGGCCAUUCUUGUUUGUGUAGAACAAAAAGAAUAAGAGUUAACUGUGGUAGCAGAAUAAGAGUUCGGGAUUUAGCUGAAAAGUUGCACAGUGCUCUUCCAAGUGAGUCUUUUGAAAUGCUUCUCUGAGUAGAUCUCCAUUUACUGCAGUGGUUCUGCGCUGGAUGUACUGGGACUCUCACUAGCUAAAAUUUAAUUUAGGAUUGUAAAAUUUAAUCUAGCUCGGUGACUGGCUUCUUUCUGAUCUGCAGUCGGGUUAUUUUUUCUCCCAAUCGCAAUGUUGGGGAUAAUGCAGUACCAACUUCAUGUCUCUUUGUGUAGAUUUUGUAGUAUUACUUAUAGUUCCUGUUUACAACUGGGUUCAAACCUUCUUAUUUUAUGUCAAGGUCGCAACAUGUUCCUCCCUUUC